CCCGUAUAAAUGGCCCUAUUGUGUGAUAGACAGUUUAACAAUCUUAAAGGAGUUGGUGUACACAUGAAAAGAGAACAUGGCAUUUCCUCAUCGACGAUUAUCCCUCCAUCUUCUGAUGUCCCGAUUAUGUCAUCCGUUAAUUUUGUUGAUAGCCAACCUUCAAGUAGUCACCUGUUAUAUGAUAACGACUCUCUUGCUGCUCCACAAUUGCCCAAUCGCGUCAACACCAGAAGGAGUGCCCGCAAAUCUAAUUCCAACCAUUGCCCUAAUGACCCCGCCAUUCCCAUUACAUCCAGCGGUCCCUC